rnacentral:miRNA from 1 species
AUUGCAACCGGUGGAGAUUCCA